CCUACGGGUGGCAGCAGUAGGGAAUAUUGCUCAAUGGGGGAAACCCUGAAGCAGCAACGCCGCGUGGAGGAUGAAGGUUUUCGGAUUGUAAACUCGCUUUGUUAGAGAAGAUAAUGACGGUAUCUAACGAAUAAGCACCGGCUAACUCCGUGCCAGCAGCCGCGGUAAUACGGAGGGUGCAAGCGUUACUCGGAAUCACUGGGCGUAAAGAGCGCGUAGGCGGGAUAGCAAGUCAGAUGUGAAAUCCUAUGGCUUAACCAUAGAACUGCAUUUGAAACUGUUAUUCUAGAGUAUGGGAGAGGUAGGUGGAAUUCUUGGUGUAGGGGUAAAAUGCGUAGAGAUCAAGAGGAAUACUCAUUGCGAAGGCGGCCUGUUAGAACAUAACUGACGCUGAUGCGCGAAAGCGUGGGGAGCAAACAGGAUUAGAUACCCCAGUAGUC
rnacentral:rRNA from 1 species